AAGGAUGAGUCUGCGGUCGAUUAGCUUGUUGGUGGGGUAACUGCCUACCAAGGCGAUGAUCGGUACGGGCUCUUAGCGGAGUUGCCCGGAGACGGAAUCUGAGACACUAUUCCGAGCUCUACGGAGUGCAGCAGUCGCGGAACUUUUACAAUGCACGAAAGUGUGAUAAAGCGAACCAAAGUGCUAUUCUUUUUGAAUAGCUUUUUUUCAACGUAAAAACUUGGAAGAAUAAGGACUGGGAAAGACCGGUGCCAGCCGCCGCGGUAAUACCGGCAGUUCAAGUUGCAUCCAGUUUUAUUGGGUCUAAAACAUCCGUAGCUCGCCAUUUAAGUCUCUUGUGAAAUCCUACGUCUCAAGCGUAGUGAAGUGCAGGAGAUACUGGAUGGCUAGAGAUCGGUAGACGUAAGCAGUACGGGACGGGUAACGGUCAAAUGUGUUAAUCCGUCUUGGACUAACAAUCAGCGAAGGCAGCUUACGAGGACGAAUCUGACAGUGAGGGAUGAAGGCCAGGGGCGCAAAACGGAUUAGAUACCCGUGUAGUCCCUGGCAAGUAAACACUGUUCACUAAACAUCGGGCCCUCUUAGGGAGGAUUUCGGUGCUGAAGGGAAGCCGAAGAGUGAACUACCCUGGGAAAGUAUAGUCGCAAGGUCCGAAA
rnacentral:rRNA from 1 species